UUUCUACAUGCCCACAUGCAGUUUGCCAUGAUUCCUCUUCGUUUGCAAAAGAUUCCACACAAGAAAGAAAACUAAAGAUGACCCGACGUCAUGUUGGCGUUAAGCUUCGUGUUGGGGAACAGUGUCCGCGGGGAAGCCGCGAAGGAACAAGCAGAGGUGCGUCCAACACUGAAAAGUUAAAAAAAGAAAAGAAAACACGAGUCAGAAACGGAGGCUUCUUCAGGUUUGAAGACGAGAGCACCUAGCAAACGAGCUGGGCAGAGGACUGUGCUGGUCUGCACCUGUCCCGGGCGCCUCUCUCUUCGGCCGGGGGGUCGCCGGUGGUCCUCUCUUCGCCUGACCCACCUGAAGGGCACGACGGCCGCCUCACAAGACGUCUACAGCAGCUCGCAGCCCCGUACGGAGGCGGACCGGUAGUUCAUUAUGCUUGUGAAUCUGCUGUCCGAGAGGAACUGUACCUUCUCGUCUGGAGAGGAGGAGGGGGACGGGGGGGUGAGGGGUGCGCACGGCUGCCCCGAUCUUCUGCUCUAGUUGAAGAAAGGAAACAUGAUACAAGUCAUUGAAAAAGCAAACUAACCCAGUGAAGGGAGCGCAGUUUGUAUUGCUGUCACACGGUGCUUUAUGGUGACACAAGAUAAGGCAGGUAACGCUCAGCACUGCAGAAGUUAACUAAGUGGAAAGUACUUCACUGUGAGAAUGUUAUAUCGAACGCUUUCCAAAUGGAUAAUGAGUUUAGCACAUUUAUGCGUAACACAAACCUUCCAAAAGCAUGAAUAUUUGUGGCGAACCCCCCCAAAGCUCAUAACAUUAUUAUACUGAUUUUGACAGCUCAGCUUGAUCUGGGAUCAAAGAAUUUUUUCAGUAUUCAAAAGGUUUACAAAGUUGAAAGGACAUUUUUUACAUUGUGUUUUAAUUGUGAAAAUAAAUCUCUCAUUCUACAAUUAUCAGACUCUUCAUCUGUCGUUUCCGGGGGCUGUGUAAAAUAAAUACACGCAUGUAUUCAUAGAUCAAUGUCAAAACACCGCAAGGAUGUAAAAGAGCCAAAAUACGCGUUCCACUCCUUGUUUCGUGUCAACGUUCAGAAGAACUACACGUUCCAUUAAUUUGAAAGGUAUUAAUAAAAGACAUCUUUGUCGUUUUUGGAAUUAUGCCCUAGAUGCUGAUGCAUGCAUAUGAAAUGCAAAUAUAUUUGUGUACAUUUUAAUUGUGAUGAAUGUAUACAAUAAAG
rnacentral:lncRNA from 1 species